rnacentral:rRNA from 1 species
CAAGACCAAAGAGGGGGACCUUCGGGCCUCUUGCCAUCAGAUGUGCCCAGAUGGGAUUAGCUAGUAGGUGGGGUAACGGCUCACCUAGGCGACGAUCCCUAGCUGGUCUGAGAGGAUGACCAGCCACACUGGAACUGAGACACGGUCCAGACUCCUACGGGAGGCAGCAGUGGGGAAUAUUGCACAAUGGGCGCAAGCCUGAUGCAGCCAUGCCGCGUGUAUGAAGAAGGCCUUCGGGUUGUAAAGUACUUUCAGCGGGGAGGAAGGUGUUGUGGUUAAUAACCACAGCAAUUGACGUUACCCGCAGAAGAAGCACCGGCUAACUCCGUGCCAGCAGCCGCGGUAAUACGGAGAGGGCAAGCGUUAAUCGGAAUUACUGGGCGUAAAGCGCACGCAGGCGGUUUCUUAAGUCGGAUGUGAAAUCCCCGGGCUCAACCUGGGAACUGCAUUCGAAACUAGGAGUCGAGAGUCUUGUAGAGGGGGGUAGAAUUCCAGGUGUAGCGGUGAAAUGCGUAGAGAUCUGGAGGAAUACCGGUGGCGAAGGCGGCCCCCUGGACAAAGACUGACGCUCAGGUGCGAAAGCGUGGGGAGCAAACAGGAUUAGAUACCCUGGUAGUCCACGCCGUAAACGAUGUCGAUUUGGAGGUUGUGCCCUUGAGGCGUGGCUUCCGGAGCUAACGCAUUAAGUCGACCGCCUGGGGAGUACGGCCGCAAGGUUAAAACUCAAAUGAAUUGACGGGGGCCCGCACAAGCGGUGGAGCAUGUGGUUUAAUUCGAUGCAACGCGAAGAACCUUACCUGGUCUUGACAUCCACAGAACAUCCUAGAGAUGCGUUGGUGCCUUCGGGAACAGUGAGACAGGUGCUGCAUGGCUGUCGUCAGCCCUUGUCGUGAAAUGUUGGGUUAAGUCCCGCAACGAGCGCAACCCUUAUCCUUUGUUGCCAGCGAUCAGGCCGGGAACUCAAAGGAGACUGCCAGUGA